UACGAAGGGGGCUAGCGUUGCUCGGAAUCACUGGGCGUAAAGCGCACGUAGGCGGCUUUUUAAGUCAGGGGUGAAAUCCUGGAGCUCAACUCCAGAACUGCCUUUGAUACUGAGAGGCUUGAGUCCGGGAGAGGUGAGUGGAACUGCGAGUGUAGAGGUGAAAUUCGUAGAUAUUCGCAAGAACACCAGUGGCGAAGGCGGCUCACUGGCCCGGGACUGACGCUGAGGUGCGAAAGCGUGGGGAGCAAGCAGG
rnacentral:rRNA from 1 species